CCCUUAGACGUUCUGGGCCGCACGCGCGCUACACUGACGAAGGCAACGAGCUUUCCUUUACCGAAAGGUACGGGUAAUCUUUUGAAACUUCGUCGUGUUGGGGAUAGAUCCUUGCAAUUUUUGAUCUUAAACGAGGAAUGCCUAGUAAGCGCAAGUCAUCAACUUGCGUUGAUUACGUCCCUGCCCUUUGUACACACCGCCCGUCGCUACUACCGAUUGAAUGGUUUAGUGAGGCCUUCGGAUCCGCGACUCGUUUGUGGAGAAGUUGGACAAACUCAGUCAUUUAGAGGAAGUAAAAGUCGUAACA
rnacentral:rRNA from 1 species